rnacentral:lncRNA from 1 species
AUGACCGCAGCACCCGGCCCUCACCCAGCCCGGAGGCAGCCCCGCAGGCACGCGGCGCCCCCAGACAGCCCCAGACACAUGCACAUGUACACACCGUGGGGACAGCAGACACGCACAGAUUGGGGACAGAGAGAGGCAGGCGUGUGGACAAGGGCACGGUCUGGUCUGGCCUGCAGACUCCCACGUGGGAUGUGCGGAUGUAGUUACACGCGAAGACACGCGCCCACCCACGGGGACCGUGGACACACCGCCAUCCCUGUGCACACGCCGCACACACAGGCGCAGACCUGCCCUCACGCACACAGGGGCACAGAAGGGACGGAGACGCCGAGAAACACCUGGGACGCAGGGUGCAGGCGAGCCGCCCCCUUCCUCUUCCUCCACCCCCCACCCCGCCGGUCCACACCCGCGCCACAGCCCAGGCCUUACCUGCAACGGGUGGGAGCCGAGCAGCCUCAGCACUGGCAGCGCCGCAGGGAUCCCGGCCGGCGAUUUGGGGCCGGAGGGGCUGCUGGGGAGCCCGGAGCCAAGCCGGAGGGGGAGCCGGGGGAGCCGGGGGAGCGCGGGGGGAGCGCAGGGGGAGCGCAGCCCGGGGAGCAGCUGCUCCUUCUGGAGCCGCCAAGCAGACGCUGCAGCCCCGUGGCCGGUGGGGGGCGGGGGCGGAGACUGCGCCGGAGCAGGAGGGGCCACGGCCGAGGGGGGUGUCGCCGCCAGGCCACAGCACCCGGCGCACACGGAGCUGAAGGACAGGGACAGGCUCGGGCCCACGGACAUAGGACACAGACGCACGCGGGACUGGGUCAGGGGACAGACACCCAAGGACACCGCCGAGACCCGGGCCAGAGACGCCACACACGCGGGCGGAGACUCGGGAGAUGCACACAAGAUGCAGAGACCGGGACCUCGGGUGGACACAGACCCGCCUGGCUUGGCACUCCACUCCCCGGGGAGCCCGUGGGCGGGGGACACAGGGACAGCCAGCCCCAGGGCUCAGAGCCUGAGCUGAGCAGGUGCCUACACCGUGCUGUGCUCCUGGGCGCCUCUGUGUGCUCCACCUGCCCACCGUGA